rnacentral:rRNA from 1 species
GACAGAGGGGGCAAGCGUUGCUCGGAAUUACUGGGCGUAAAGGGCGCGUAGGCGGGAUGGCAAGUCGGUCGUGAAAUCCCUCGGCUCAACCGAGGAACGUCGAUCGAUACUGCUGUUCUUGAGGAUUGCAGAGGAGACUGGAAUUCCCGGUGUAGCGGUGAAAUGCGUAGAUAUCGGUAGGAACACCAGUGGCGAAGGCGGUCUCCUGGGGCAUUCUUGACGCUGAGGCGCGAAAGCUGGGGGAGCGAACGGG